rnacentral:lncRNA from 1 species
AUUCAGAAAUUGGUAUUAGCAGGAAGAAUGGGAGAAGCCAUUGAAACAACACAACAGUUAUACCCAAGUUUACUUGAAAGAAAUCCUAAUCUCCUUUUCACAUUAAAAGUGCGUCAGUUUAUAGAAAUGGUGAAUGGUACAGAUAGUGAAGUACGAUGUUUGGGAGGCCGAAGUCCAAAGUCUCAAGACAGUUAUCCUGUUAGUCCUCGACCUUUUAGUAGUCCAAGUAUGAGCCCCAGCCAUGGAAUGAAUAUCCACAAUUUAGCAUCAGGCAAAGGAAGCACCGCACAUUUUUCAGGUUUUGAAAGUUGUAGUAAUGGUGUAAUAUCAAAUAAAGCACAUCAAUCAUAUUGCCAUAGUAAUAAACACCAGUCAUCCAACUUGAAUGUACCAGAACUAAACAGUAUAAAUAUGUCAAGAUCACAGCAAGUUAAUAACUUCACCAGUAAUGAUGUAGACAUGGAAACAGAUCACUACUCCAAUGGAGUUGGAGAAACUUCAUCCAAUGGUUUCCUAAAUGGUAGCUCUAAACAUGACCACGAAAUGGAAGAUUGUGACACCGAAAUGGGUCUGCAGUGAUAUUUCUUACAUUUUUAAUAAAAAAUGAUGGCUACAAGAAGUUGAUUCAAGUCAGUUGAGACGCCAGUUGUGUGGAGGAAGUCAGGCCGCCAUAGAAAGAAUGAUCCACUUUGGACGAGAGCUGCAAGCAAUGAGUGAACAGCUAAGGAGAGACUGUGGCAAGAACACUGCAAACAAAAAAAUGUUGAAGGAUGCAUUCAGUCUACUAGCAUAUUCAGAUCCCUGGAACAGCCCAGUUGGAAAUCAGCUUGACCCGAUUCAGAGAGAACCUGUGUGCUCAGCUCUUAACAGUGCAAUAUUAGAAACCCACAAUCUGCCAAAGCAACCUCCACUUGCCCUAGCAAUGGGACAGGCCACACAAUGUCUAGGACUGAUGGCUCGAUCAGGAAUUGGAUCCUGCGCAUUUGCCACAGUGGAAGACUACCUACAUUAGCUAUGCAUUUCAAGAGCUCACACUUAUAUUGUGGCAUAUAGUCAACAUGGAAGUAGACCAGCUCUGCUGAUUUGAAAUUUAGAUUUUUUAAAUUAUGUACUGGGGACAGGUUUUUGUCGCUUUACAUUGCUUCCUAGUUUACAGCAUGAUGCAAAUGAUUUUCUAACUUAGUGUUAGGAGAAAUUAUUUUCCAUCUUUAACCUCUUAGUUGUCUAAGAGUUAAAUAUUACUGAAUUUCAGACGUUCAAAUUGAUCAUCACAAAUCCUUUAAAACAAUUACCU